AACGAACGCUGGCGGCGCGUCUUAAGCAUGCAAGUCGAACGGCAAGAUGCCUUCGGGUAUCCUAGAGUGGCGGACUGGUGAGUAACGCGUGGAUGACGUACCCUCGUGACGGGGAUAGCCGGUAGAAAUACCGGUAAUACCGGAUAAGGUCUCACGGAAUAAAGGCGUGAGAGGAAAGCAGCGUAUGCUGCGCAGGAGGAACGGUCUGCGGCCUAUCAGCUGGUUGGCAGGGUAAAGGCCUACCAAGGCGACGACGGGUAUCCGGCCUGAGAGGGUGGACGGACACAUUGGGACUGAGAUACGGCCCAGACUCCUACGGGAGGUAGCAGCUAAGAAUAUUCCGCAAUGGGGGGAACCCUGACGGAGCGACGCCGCGUGGACGAUGAAGGUCGGAAGAUUGUAAAGUCCUUUUAUACAUGAAGAAGAAGUUGUACAGGAAAUGGUAUGAUGGUGACGGUAGUGUAUGAAUAAGCACCGGCUAAUUACGUGC
rnacentral:rRNA from 1 species